UUCAUCUAAAUACAACAACAUUGCUGGCAUUGAAGACCCGUGAAAAUAUUGAAGAGCAUAUANAUACAUAUAUAGUUAGUUUUGUAUGUGCGCAUAAUCACGGCAAUUGCUAAUAUUUGGCGGCGUGCCAUUAAAAGCCAAAGCGGGCGGGCGAAAGGCGCUUUUCUGCUGAAAAAAAAAAAACCCCGACAGCAUAGAGGCGCAGAGGCCGAAACAAAAAGCAAAUAAUUUAUCAUACAACCACAUACACCUACAUACCAAACUUUGGCAAGAACAUGAGUGAGGCCAAACUUUUUGACGGCAGUUCUGGCCGUUUGGCGCUCGGUUCAACAGUCGUCGUGUUCUGUCUGUUCUACAAUGACGCUUGCGGACCGGCGAUAGUGUUUGCCAAUUUCCUCGCCUUCACCUAUGGCGCAAUGGCAGCUUACUGCAAGGCCCAUUUGAAAUCCCUCCAAAUCCCGUACAUUCGGGCAAGCAACAAAUUCGACUACACCUGCCUGUUUCUGGCCACGUGGUUGGAUGUGCUGGCGGUGCUGUGUGCCUGUGUCGCCCUGGCGCGUACCAUGAGCACCUGCUUGGAUGCCAUGACGGGCGGCAUGGCGCACAUACUGAUUUUAGGCCGCAAUUCAUCGCCGUACGAGCCGUGGCCGGAUGUGCUGGGUGUUGCCGUCGUCAUUAUAAUUACAGUUAUGUUUAUGCUGGGACUGGACCAUUCAAAAGUCUUCCAUAUCAUCAUGUGGUGCGGCGUGAUCAUCCUGAACUUGUGCCCUCCGGCCGCGACUUGCUGGAAAGGCGACAUUUUGGAGUGGACCCGAUAUUGGUUUCGGCCAGACGGAUUUGUUAGUCUUCUAUUUCCGGCGGCGCAACUUUCCUUUGCUUAUCCCCGAGAGUUGCCACUGCCCAAUUCAUUUCUUGAGCGUUUCAAGGGGUUUGGAAAAUUCUUCAGAACUCUCUUUAUCUUGUGUUUGACGAUAGUAUCCCUGUCGUUUUUGGUUCAUCAUAAACCAGUUAACGAAUACAUUGCCAAUCCAUUCCUCAACUUUCUGGACGAUAUUACCUUAGGCAAGCUAGUGCCAGCCGCUGCUUGUUUGCUCAUGCUAACCUCAUCAGCCGCAUACUUGGAACUCUUUCCAGAACUCUACGGUUUAAUAGUGCGUUUCGCUACCUCAGAAUGGAAGGUGCUCUCAAAGCACAUUAGCUACGAAAGUUCCGAAAGCGGUAGUCCCGUAUUUGCUAUUUUUAUAAGUGGCAGCCUCUGUGCUAUGUUGGCCUUUGCGUGUCCAAUGCAACACCUCAUCAACACGCUGGCGGCCAGCCAUUUAGCGGCAGGCUUCUUAAGAGCUUUUUACUUAUUGUACAUACCAGUCCGUCCAAAGUAUAUACAACGUUCCGCAGCGAUUUCGUCACUUGCAUAUAGUCGGCUUAGCACGGCAGCCGCCGCAACGGCUUCAUACAAACGUCCAGAUGCGAAAAAGACCAGUAAGCGGAGCAUACUGGGUGUCAACGUAGCCAAUAUAAGUACAGCGAAGAAACCAGCGCCGAAGAAAAAACCAAAAAAGGAGUUAGAAAAAGAAUGGCUCUUGCUGGGUGAACCUACAUCUCCGUGUCCUAUACGCCAACCGACCGAUGUCGAAUCCGCAAUGCAGUCGAGCAGUAAACCAGUGCCUUUGAAUUUCAUUUACCCAGAGGUAGUCGAGGUCAGCGACUCUGACACCUCAACAGAUAUUGAUGCGAUUGUCGAUGAAUAUAGACAAAAAAUUAGGAUUACAACUUCGAGCCUAAUCGAUAUCAGCUCGCGUGUUCCGACGGUACUAUCUUGGCGCUUUGCUUUGUUGAUCAUUUCUGUUGUAAUAUUUGGCACAGUUUCAUUCGCUUUCAAUAGUAUGCAGCAGAACCCAUAUGGCGAGAUAGUCUUCGGCUGUGGAACAAUGAUACUUAGUUCUAUGCUAUCAUUGGUUCCACGCCACAAGGCCGGUGUCAUCUGUUUGAAUCCCGUUUUCUGUUGCUGCACCCUUUUGACCAGUUGCGUUCUUUUUGGCGCGUGUUCGUACUACGUCUGGCCGGCAAUUGUCUUUUGGGUGAUUGCUGGUCUCAUGUUAUUACUGCGCUGCGACAAUUGGUGUUGUGGUUGCUUCGAACAUAGUGGUGGCACCAUACAAGAACAGCUAAUACCGAACGAUGCGCCGAAAACAAUGACAAAGUCGACGGCAAUACACAUACCAGGCCCACCAACAAAUCCAGUAACAGUACCAACUUUAGUGAAUACGAGCAGGUGACAAUUAGAAUCCUCAGAGAGUGAAGACCUGAAUGUGUGCGAUUUCAUAGAGAGCCGUAACGAAGAUGACGAACUUUGUUGGAGCGAGUAGAAAUAUUGUAAAAAUACAAGAAUAAUGAAAUGUUCAAACAACUGAGUACCUAUUUGUGACACCUGAUUUAUAGUAUUUGGAGUGAAAUGUUGUGCCGCAGCCGUAGUCAUAGUCAUUGCCGUCUCCGUAAUGCCGCCUGCUUGCCUGAAACUGCAACCGAGUAGAAAAAGCAUAUUUUAUAAGACAAAUCCUCAUCCGAAAUCAGGCGAAAAACCUACAGUUUUAGCCAAAAAGCUGGUAUAAAUAUAAAAAGAAUUUAGAGCACUAGGGUUUGUAUCUUGAAUGAUCGAAUUGUAAUACGAUUAACAGUUAUAAAUAUAAUUUCGAGUUAAAUAAUAUUGUAUGUCAUAUGUGUUGGAAAAACAGUUUUAUAAAGAGUACUUGAAAAACAUGUGUGCUAAAUUUAAACUAAUCAAAUACUUCAUAAUCAUCUGGACUCAUCAAUUUAAUAUUUGAGUUGAGAAAAUUAGCUAUACGAGCAAACUCAGUGUCGAGUGAAAUAUAAAAAAUGACAUAAUAUAAGAAAAUAAAUUUUCGAAAAUAUCAAGAAAAAUAUUUUAAAUUACA
rnacentral:misc_RNA from 1 species